rnacentral:misc_RNA from 1 species
CAGAGUGUAAAAACUCCUAAACCCACUGUAUACCUACCUGUCUGUUGCUUCGGCAGGCGGCCCCAGGGCGGGGCCUCAGCUGCUCGCAGCGCCUGCCGGAGGACGAAAACUCUGUUACUGUGUUACUCUGAGUCAAAAGACAAAUAGUCA